AGUGAACGCUGGCGGUAGGCCUAACACAUGCAAGUCGAACGGCAGCACAGUAAGAGCUUGCUCUUACGGGUGGCGAGUGGCGGACGGGUGAGGAAUACAUCGGAAUCUACUUUUUCGUGGGGGAUAACGUAGGGAAACUUACGCUAAUACCGCAUACGACCUACGGGUGAAAGCAGGGGAUCUUCGGACCUUGCGUGAUUGAAUGAGCCGAUGUCGGAUUAGCUAGUUGGCGGGGUAAAGGCCCACCAAGGCGACGAUCCGUAGCUGGUCUGAGAGGAUGAUCAGCCACACUGGAACUGAGACACGGUCCAGACUCCUACGGGAGGCAGCAGUGGGGAAUAUUGGACAAUGGGCGCAAGCCUGAUCCAGCCAUACCGCGUGGGCGAAGAAGGCCUUCGGGUUGUAAAGCCCUUUUGUUGGGAAAGAAAAGCAGCAGGUUAAUACCCCGCUGUUCUGACGGUACCCAAAGAAUAAGCACCGGCUAACUUCGUG
rnacentral:rRNA from 1 species